GUGGAUUAGAUACCCGAGUAGUCCACGCCCUAAACGAUGUCAACUAGUUGUCGGGGAUUCAUUUCCUUGGUAACGCAGCUAACGCGUGAAGUUGACCGCCUGGGGAGUACGGCCGCAAGGUUAAAACUCAAAGGAAUUGACGGGGACCCGCACAAGCGGUGGAUGAUGUGGAUUAAUUCGAUGCAACGCGAAAAACCUUACCUACGCUUGACAUGCCAGGAACUUUCCAGAGAUGGAUUGGUGCCCGAAAGGGAACCUGGACACAGGUGCUGCAUGGCCGUCGCCAACU
rnacentral:rRNA from 1 species